CACGCAGGCGGUUUUUUAAGUCAGAUGUGAAAGGUACCGGCUCAACCGGUGACAUGCAUUUGAAACUGAAAGACUUGAGUAUUGGAGAGGCAAGUGGAAUUUCUAGUGUAGCGGUGAAAUGCGUAGAUAUUAGGAGGAACACCGGUGGCGAAGGCGGCUUGCUGGACAAAUACUGACGCUGAGGUGCGAAAGCGUGGGGAGCAAACA
rnacentral:rRNA from 1 species